UGCACUGUCUGUAUGAAAACAAUGAACCAGACAUGCGACAAUGUUAGACAGUAGACAAUCACGUACGCUUUCUAAGGAACGCGACUCCUAUCCAUAUGUUUCCUGAUUGAUGGUUUUCUACCAAGCUUUACUGAACCUCACAGUUACACAUGAAACCACACAUAAGGAAGACUAUGAAUGCCAAGGUUUUCAUCUUGCUUGUAUUUCUGUUGAUAAAUUCUGUCUCAGCUCGACCACUAUUGGAUGUGAUGUUGGACGGACGUGGAAUGGAAGAUGUAGCACCUGGUGCACCUGAUGUACAAGAUCGGUGGGAACCAUCGCAAAACCUGAUUGAAGAUAGAAGAAGAUCUGGGGACCAUCAUGAGUGACAUGAUUAUAACUUCUAAGCACACUGUUAGUGUUUACUAAACAAACACAAUUAAAGAGAAUAAAGAAAAACAGUAACACAA